rnacentral:rRNA from 1 species
CCUACGGGUGGCAGCAGUGGGGAAUAUUGCACAAUGGGGGAAACCCUGAUGCAGCGACGCCGCGUGAGUGAAGAAGUAUUUCGGUAUGUACAGCUCUAUCAGCAGGGAAGAAAAUGACGGUACCUGAUUAAGAAGCCCCGGCUAACUACGUGCCAGCAGCCGCGGUAAUACGUAGGGGGCAAGCGUUAUCCGGAUUUACUGGGUGUAAAGGGAGCGUAGACGGCAGCACAAGUCUGGAGUGAAAUGCCGGGGCUUAACCCCGGAACUGCUUUGGAAACUGUGCAGCUAGAGUGCAGGAGAGGUAAGUGGAAUUCCGAGUGUAGCGGUGAAAUGCGUAGAUAUUAGGAGGAACACCAGUGGCGAAGGCGGCCACCUGGACCGGUAUUGACGCUGAGGCGCGAAAGCGUGGGGAGCAAACAGGAUUAGAUACCCGUGUAGUC